GUGACACCCGGGCACUGACGAGGGCGGGGAGUGAUCGCCGGUGCAAGAAGCAUGGUGCAGGGGGCACAGACAAGGAGCGGCUCCUAGCAGGCUUCGAGUGGAAGGGGCACAUGGACGAAUCGAACAUACACCAGAAUGAGAGGGAUCUGGAGACUGUAUAGGUAUGGGACUAUACAGUUGAAGGAUAACUUUGAUUUGGCUACCCAUAUCACCAAAAUGCAUUUACUUUUCGGUAGCCUAACCCUUAAGAACUUCAUGGUUAAGCGUGCUUAGCCUGGAGAAAUUCUGGGAUGGGUGACCUUCUGGGAAGUUUUCCCGGAAAGUGUGCGAGUGAGGACAAAGCACACUGGAAAGUCUCGUGGUGAUGUGUGAGGGCAGUCAACAGUCCCUGUAAGUUGCCGGGGCGUUACAUACAUCAUGUAUACCAUACCAAAAGAGAAAGGAAAAAGAAACACUUUGUGUAAAGGGAAAAAGACAAUAAAGGGAAAUAUCUUGUUCUUUAAAAAUAUAAUGAAAUGUGGUGUAGAUGUGUAAAUGAUAUAUGAAAAUUUAGUUGAUUUAUGAAGGUUUUAUUUACAUGAUUUAAUUUAAAAAUGAAAUUUAAUAAUCAUAAAAAGGGAAAAUAUAUAACACCGCGGGUUGUUAUGUGUGGCUGAGGGAGAGUAUUGAGACGAGAGAAAAACAAAUUGGAUAAGUGAAGAAGGUGAAGGUGAAUUAGGGUUAGGUAAGGGUUUCUGAUUUUUUUUUUCCAAUUGGGGCAGCAGUAGAGAUGACAGAGAAAAUGUUGGAGUGGAGUGAGAGAGAUGAAAGAGAAAGGGUUGAGAGGAAUGAGGGGUGAGUAAGGGUUUGAGGUUUUUUUUUU
rnacentral:lncRNA from 1 species